UACACCAUUAAUGGAUAAUAUCGUAGGUAUUAUGAAGGUGGCAUUUCAUCAGUUUACAUGUGGGAAGAUGAUAAUGAAGGUUUCGUAGCCUGCUUUUUAAUAAAGAAAGAUGGCUCAAAGACAGGGCAGGGUCGACGGGGAUAUUUAGAGGAAGGUGCAUGGGAUGCUAUACAUGUUAUAGAGGUGGGACCAGAGGAAGAAGAAAA